GGAGUUGAGGAAGAAGGAAUGGACGGCCAUCAUCCCCAACUCUCAGCUCAUUGUCAUCCCUUACCCACACAAUCAACCCAGCAGUUGGACCGCCAAACUGUACCUGACGCCCAGUAACAGCGUGCUGCUGACCGCCAUCGCCCUCAUCGGGGUGUGCGUCUUCAUCCUCGUCAUCAUCGGCAUCCUCCACUGGCAAGAGAAGAAAGCAGACGACCGCGAGAAGAGACAAGAAGCUCACCGCUUCCAUUUUGACGCCAUGUGACCCAGCAGUGUUGCAUCAUGGGAGAUUGUCCCCCUUAACUUAGCUCUUCUACUGCUGUGGCCCCUUUCUCCUCGCC